rnacentral:tRNA from 1 species
GCAGGUAUAGUUUAAUGGUAGAACAUCAGCCUUCCAAGCUGAUCGUGCGAGUUCGAUUCUCGUUACCUGCUCCA